GCACGGGUGAGUAUCGCGUAUACAAUCUGCCUCAUACUAGGGAAUAGCCCGAAGAAAUUUGGAUUAAUGCCCUAUAGUAUCUUUUUAAGGCAUCUUAUUAAGAUUAAAGGUUACGGUAUGAGAUGAGUAUGCGUUCUAUUAGCUAGUAGGUGUGGUAACGGCACACCUAGGCUACGAUAGAUAGGGGCCCUGAGAGGGGGAUCCCCCACACUGGUACUGAGACACGGACCAGACUCCUACGGGAGGCAGCAGUAAGGAAUAUUGGUCAAUGGACGAAAGUCUGAACCAGCCAUGCCGCGUGCAGGAUGACUGCCCUAUGGGUUGUAAACUGCUUUUAUAUAGGAAGAAAAACUUUCUCGUGAGAAAGCUUGACGGUACUAU
rnacentral:rRNA from 1 species